rnacentral:rRNA from 1 species
UACAGAGGUCCCAAGCGUUGUUCGGAUUCACUGGGCGUAAAGGGUGCGUAGGCGGUCGGGUAAGUCUGAUGUGAAAUCUCACAGCUUAACUGUGAAACUGCAUUGGAUACUAUCCGGCUCGAGGAAUGGAGGGGAGACUGGAAUACUUGGUGUAGCAGUGAAAUGCGUAGAUAUCAAGUGGAACACCAGUGGCGAAGGCGGCUACCUGGACAAAUACUGACGCUGAGGCGCGAGAGCGUGGGGAGCAAACAGG